AGCGAACGCUGGCGGCAGGCUUAACACAUGCAAGUCGAACGCCCCGCAAGGGGAGUGGCAGACGGGUGAGUAACACGUGGGAACGUACCCUUUGGUUCGGAAUAACUUGGGGAAACUCAAGCUAAUACCGGAUAAGCCCUUAUGGGGAAAGGUUUACUGCCGAAGGAUCGGCCCGCGUCUGAUUAGCUAGUUGGUGAGGUAAUGGCGCACCAAGGCGACGAUCAGUAGCUGGUCUGAGAGGAUGAUCAGCCACACUGGGACUGAGACACGGCCCAGACUCCUACGGGAGGCAGCGGUGGGGAAUAUUGGACAAUGGGGGCAACCCUGAUCCAGCCAUGCCGCGUGAGUGAUGAAGGCCUUAGGGUUGUAAAGCUCUUUUACCCGGGACGAUAAUGACUGUACCGGGAGAAUAAGCCCCGGCUAACUCCGCGCCAGCCGCCGCCGUAA
rnacentral:rRNA from 1 species